rnacentral:lncRNA from 1 species
GGAGGGUAGUGUGUACGCAGACCUUAUCCCUACCUCGUGGAGGUAGAGAUGCUGUUUUCGAAUAACUCAAAGACAAAAUGAAAAGAAGCAGUAGCAAUAAGAAGUAACAACAUCGAUAUAUAAACAACAACGGUUAAAUAAUUGAAGCAAAAGAAAUAACAGGCAAAAAUAUAGCUCUAUGAAUAGGAAAAAAGAAAAAAAAAUGAGAUAUGUCAUUAGUGUAUAAAGUACGAGACUUUUCCCAAACUAAAUGACAUGCCUGGAAUGGACGAAACAAAAGCAUCAACUUGGAAUCAAUAGAUCGGCACACGAUACUAUAUAACUGAGCAUCGAUCUUUUCCCACAACUCUUUGGCCUUUUCAUCUCCCUCACUAGCCUUUUUGGUUAAGUGAACUUGAAUACCUUGACCUUUACACCACAACUUAACAGAUGAAGCCCAAGAUAAAUAAUUUGAUCUUCCAAGUAAGGGUUCAGAAAUAAUCAUAAAGGCUGAAUUUCCAGCUCCACUAUUUUUGGAGCCAAAAACAUCUAAAUUGAGAGACAUUAUUGGAUUGAAGUGAGUUCUAAUUAACCAAAUCAAUGACCAGCUUCAACUAGUCAGAAAAAUAACUAGAAAAUUCCAAAACACCGUUCCUCCCGGGAAAAAAGGACUGUAGUUGUCGGAAAAGUUUCAAAGUGAUCGGAAUUAAAAAAAAGUAUGGGUUGGCUCUGAAUUGAUGGGCCAUUUCCACGCGCCGACGUAUGGAGUAGAUGUCGCCAGAAAAUCUGACCUCCGAAUGGCGCGUGAGAGCGCAUGAGCUGUCGGCUGCCGGAGAUUUUUGUUGGGGUUUGGUCAUCGGGGAUUGGGGGUCUGUGGUGGUGUUGGUUUUUGUACAAUACCAAGAGAAAUUGAUUUGCCGUAAAUCUGCCCUAGAAAGUCGUCGGAAAUUGACGCGCGACGACUGUCCGACUUUCCCAGAUGUGUCUCACUCACGCUGUGAUACCUUGUGAAAAAUAAUACACGGGAAAAUUAUAUUAUUGACCUAUUAACAAUGAUACAAUGAGCGCUAUAUAUAAUACAUAUUCUACUCCUACUAGGGGUGAGUGUUCGGUUCGGUUCGGUUUGAAGAUAUUCGGUUCGGUUAUUCGGUUUUGUAAAAGUAGUAACCGAAACCGAACUGAAAUAGGUUCGGUUCAGUUUGGUUUCUCUAAUUUUGGUUCGGUUUUCGGUUUGAACAUUAUCAUAUUGGGCUCCUUCUAUGUAAUAAUAGGACCGGCGAAUUUGUUGUUUUUUCCCAAAACUUCAAAAUUAUUUGAAAUAUUGUGUUUAUAAAAAAAAAAUAGACUAAACUUUGCACACUAUUAUGGAUCAUAAAAUUCAAACAUAGUGUAAAUUACAACUCUGUGUGAAAUUCUCCCGGUAUCUAUCAUAUAUGCUAUGGAAGUUUUAAUAGAGUGAAAGUCUUUAAGAUUGGGAAGUUGAUGAACUUACUUAAUUGGGUUGAGUCUUUGAUAAUUGGACCUAUGGGCUUAGCCUAUAUAUAAGUUAAAGAACCUAUAUGCUAAUAAUUCAGUUUUUCGGUUAACCGAACUAAAUAACUUAAUAACCGAAAACCGAAAUAAAAAAAAAUUUCGGUUCGGUCGGUUUAUUUAGUUCCGACCAAAAUAUUCCCACCCCUAACUCCUACUACAUAUGAGAUUAGGACUAUUUACACAUAACUAUCUAACAAGGACUAAAUACAUUGAAAUUGAUUGUCAUUUUGUAAGAGAAAAGAUACUCUCAGGAUAUAUUGUUACAAAGUUUGUGAAGUCGAGUGAUCAACUUGUAGAUAUUUUCACUGAGUCCCUUACUGGUCCUCAUAUUAGUUAUAUUUGUAACAAGCUCGGUACAUAUGAUUUAUAUGCACCAGCUUAAGGGAGAGUGUUAGAUAGUUAGCAGAAAACUAGCUAUAUAAUACUAUGUAAACAUUAUAGAAUCAGACCUCUCUAUAACAACAUCCGUAUAUAACAACACUUCACUAUAAAAGCCAAACUUUUCCGGAACCAAUUUUCAUGUUAUGUUAUAAUAUAUGUUCUAUAUAACAACACUUCGCUAUAACAUCUAAAAUUAUUCGGAACAAACAAGGCUGUUAUAGAGAAGUUUGACUGUAUAUGAGUAGGGCUAUUGUAAAAACACUCAAGACAUCAAUAAUAUAAUUUUUUUCAUUAUUUCUCACAAGUACCUUUCUUCGAAGGCUUCUCCACUUGCAUGGAUAAUUGUAUAGUUGUGGGUGGAGUUAUGUUUUUUUACUAAAAAACUGGUCAUGCACUGAGGGGUCGUUUGGUACACGGGUUAAGGUGGGAUAAGGUAAGGGAUUAGAUUUAUAUCAUGUUUGGUUGAUGGUAUAAAUUUGUCCUGGAAUUAAUUUAUACCAUCAACCAAACAUGAUAUAAAUCUAAUCCCAGACUUGAUACUGGAUAUCCCACAUUAUCCUCCCUUAUCCCAUCAAACUUGGGAUUAUUUUAUCCCACGUCCCAGGUGGGAUAAAAUAGUCCAGGGAUUAUAAUCCUGGGAUUAUUAUCCCAGGAUAACUUAGUUCGCUUACCAAAUGACCCCUGAGAGUUACUAUUGUCAAAGCAUCUAACUCGUUUACGCUCAUCAUAAUGCAGGCUUUAAAACUUUUAGGAUAGUGACAUUUACCUUAAGGGGAAUCUUGUGGUGCUUGUGAAGGAUGUACGAAUAUUUAGUAGGUUUCAUUGGCAAGCAAUGAAAACUCAUAUCCAUCUCAUUUUGGCAUGGUGCUAGGACACUUUAUGAAGGUUUUGAUGAGUAAAGAUCAGUUCUCUCUAUUCAAUAGGCAAUGAAGAGAACGACAUGGUUAGGUUGACAUGAAGUCUCCUUCAAACUGUUCAUACUAGCUCUGUGGGAUGAUUCAGCCAUAAAUUCCUUGUUUUCUAUAAAACUGCAUAAAUAAGUUGUUUGGACCUUCGAACUGUAUACCAACUGUGGAAAGAAUAAAAGAAAUAUACAUNGAAUGUUUUUGCUCGUAAGGACUGUAUUGUGCUUGAAUAUACUUUCUAUCAAGUAGCAGGGUAAUAUCUGUUAAAAUUUCUUCUUUUCCCCAUUAAAUUGUUCUCUAAGUUGAAAGAUGUUCUCUUUCCCUGUGUUGGUGUAGAAUAAGACUCUUGACAUCUAUUCUUCCCCUGUUGCAGAUUAUGUAACCUUCAGAAUUCGUUACACUAUAAACAUGAAAUGGCUCUCGAUGCUGAUGGAAGAAGACUUCUGGUGACAUCCAACUCCCUGAGAGCGCCUAUUUACCAGGUAAAUUUGUUUCACGCUGAUUGAUGUGUUUAGGUCCCUUUGCCUUGAUUGUUUCAGAGCUUAACUAUUUGUUCAUAAGCUCUAGGUUGGCCUCUAUCUGAAAAUGGAGAUCACUUGUGGGGGUCACUGAAUUUUCCCAUCAGUAAACCAAUAGGAUCUCUCUUUUAGUAGUGGUUUAUGAGUAUUUAACAAGUACUGUUGGGAAUAGCACUGCACAUAUGGUGUCAGAAGGCCUAGGAGCAGUCUUAUAAGAUGAUGUUUCAUCGGUCCUUGCUAUGCCCCCUCUUCAUUUCCAGUUACUGUUAUUUCUUGCCUUGCUGGUUUACUUCAGUUUAAAGAUUUUUUGACUAUUAAUAAUUCCUCUUAAUUGUCUUAGGUCCGCGAUCAUGCAUAUGGGAUGAGAAGUCUUCCUCACAGUGCAUCUAUAACAACAGUAGACUGGCAUCCGACGUUGCCCAUCUUCUUGACUGGAUCUGCAGAUCACUCGGUUCGGGUUACAUCUAUAGCAUGACAGCUUCUGGUUUCUCUUGUGAGUAGUUGUUUCGGAUAGUCCGAUGAAUAGAAAAUGUAAAUUUUAUUUUGUUAUCCAGUGUGUCUAUGUGGACCUUGAAAGCUAUCUGUCCAAUUUUAUGUUUCGAUUACAACCAUUAGUCUCCCCAAGAGCAAGAGGGGUUACAACCAUUUAAGUUUUGAUUACAACCAUUAGACAAGAGGGGUUGCUCUGAUGGUAAGCAACCUCCACUUCCAACCAAGAAGUUGUGAGUUCGAGUCUCCCCAAAGAGCAAGGUGGGAAGUUCUUGGAGGGAAGGAUGCCGAGUUUCUAUUGGAAACAACCUCUCUACCCCAGGGUAGGGGUAAGGUCUGCGUACACACUACCCUCCCCAGACCCCACUAAGUGGGAUUAUACUGGGUGGUUGUUGUUGUUGUUGAUUACAACCAUUAGUCAAAGGCAUUAUUGAAAGCAACAGUAGAAUAUAAAGGUGCUAGCUUGGUGUAAAUGAGGCUUACGGAAAUAUUAACAGGAAAAAAGGAUACAGAAGAAGAGAGGUCUUGCUUCAUGGACUCUUUGGGACCUUACGAUGCCGCAAAAAUCCUUCAGGCGUGGAGAUUGUGCAAUAGUGGAUCAAAUGAUUUUGCUGUAUCCAAUCAGUAUGUGUCAGCUUUGAACUAUCGGAUACAUUGACGAGGGAAUAGCGUCAAGUAAUUAAAUAUAUUGAGAAUGGUUUUAUAUUAAUUUGCUUAUUGUAUGUGUUUAUUAAGUUAGUUUCAUCAGUCAGUGUUUUGAUUGUCAUGAAAACAAAUCAACUUUUGGAGCGCUGUCUAUUAGGAGAAAUUCAAAAAUAGCCAGAUUUACAACUGGUCGUUCAAAAAUAGCCCAGUUUCAGAAGUAAUCGAAAUUUAGCCACUUUUCAUGUAAAGAUAAAUUUAAGCG